AGCAGCCGCGGUAAUUCCAGCUCCAAUAGCGUAUAUUAAAGUUGUUGCAGUUAAAAAGCUCGUAGUUGAACUUCAGGCCUGUCCAGAUGGUCCGCCUUAAUUGGUGUGUACUGUCCUUGGGUGGGUCCUACCUUCUGGCGAAGCGGCAUGGCCUUAGUUGGUUGUGUCGGGGAACCAGGACUUUUACUGUGAAAAAAUUAGAGUGUUCAAAGCAGGCAAAUAUGCUCGAAUACAUUAGCAUGGAAUAAUGGAAUAGGACGAUGGUUCUAUUUUGUUGGUUCUAGGACCGUUGUAAUGAUUAAUAGGGAUAGUUGGGGGCAUUAGUAUUCAAUUGUCAGAGGUGAAAUUCUUGGAUUUAUUGAAGACUAACUACUGCGAAAGCAUUUGCCAAGGAUGUUUUCAUUAAUCAAGAACGAAAGUUAGGGGAUCGAAGACGAUCAGAUACCGUCGUAGUCUUAACCAUAAACUAUGCCGACUAGGAAUCGGGCGAUGUUGACA
rnacentral:misc_RNA from 1 species